AACUUUUAGCAAUGGAUCUCUUGGCUCUCGCAUCGAUGAAGAACGCAGCGAAAUGCGACAAGUAAUGUGAAUUGCAGAAUUCAGUGAAUCAUCGAAUCUUUGAACGCAUCUUGCGCUCCUUGGUAUUCCGAGGAGCAUGCCUGUUUGAGUGUCAUUCAACUUCUCAACCACAUUCGUUCAUUGAUUGUGGCUUGGAUGGUGGGGGUUUAUUUGCAGGCUUCUUCUGUGAAAACAGAAAGGUCGGCUCCCCUGAAAUGUAUCAGUGGUAUCUGAGGCUAUUGCUAUAGGUGUGAUAAUUAUCUAUGCCCUUGGUAUGCCGCAUGGAACUGCUUCCAACAGAGAUGAUCUUUUUGAUGAAUUUGACCUCAAAUCAGGUAGGACUACCCGCUGAACUUAAGCAUAUCAAUAAGCGGAGGCU
rnacentral:misc_RNA from 1 species